rnacentral:misc_RNA from 1 species
GGAUGGAUCAUUACAGAGUAGUGAUUAGAGAGAGUAGUAAAGUGAAUAGAAGAAGGUGGUGGUGGGGUUGUUGGUUGUAGUUGCUGUUUUGAUGGGCGUACAACUUACAGUCGCACUGCGAAAGCCGAAACGUCUUUUUUUGUUUUGUUGAUUGUAGUAAAAAAGUGUGUAAAAAACAUAUUAUUAUUAAAUUACACAACUUUUAGCAACGGAUCUCUUGGCUCUCGCAACGAUGAAGAACGCAGCGAAAUGCGAUAAUUAGUGUGAAUUGCAGAUACCGUGAAUCAUCAAGUCUUUGAACGCACAUUGCACUGUCUGGAAUUCCGGGCAGUAUACCUGUUUGAGUAUCAGCCAACAUUCCUAACAUAUAGUACCCUUGUAUUGGGGUUAUUUAAGAUAGGGAAUUGAGCCAGUACAUUUAGUAGGUACACGGUAGUACUAGUACUAGUAGUAGUAGUAGUAGUAGUAGUAUUAGGUAUUGACAAGUGUGGCUUUAAAUAUAAGAGUUACCAUGUUCUGGUCAGCAGUAUCAGCCUAUGAGUAAUAGUUGACAGAGUUAAUGGGCAUAAAAAUUUGCCUGUGAGUGUCUUCUAUAUUUAUGGGUGGUGGUUGUGAAGAGCAAGUGGAAUUCAUAAGUGCGUGACACAAACAAGUGACGUACUGUGUAGUGUUGAUCUCAAAUCAGGUAAGAUUACCCGCUGAACUUAAGCAUAUUAAUAAGCGGAGGAAAAGAAACUAACCAGGAUUCCCUUAGUAACGGCGAGUGAAGCGGGAACAGCUCAAAUUUAAAAUCUCUUUGGAGAAUUGUAGUUUGUAGAGAGUGAAUCGGUCUGCAGGCUGGGUACAAGUCCUUUGGAAGAGGGCAUCAUAGAGGGUGAGAAUCCCGUGUUUGAUCCAGUUACUGGGACGAUGUGAUACACUGUCAAAGAGUCGGGUUGUUUGGGAAUGCAGCCCUAAGUUGGUGGUAUAUUUCAUCUAAAGCUAAAUAGUGGCGAGAGACCGAUAGCGAACAAGUACCGUGAGGGAAAGAUGAAAAGAACUUUGAAAAGAGAGUUAAAUAGUACGUGAAAUUGCUAAAAGGGAAACGAUUGAAAUCAGUGUUGGGCGGAGUAAAUCAGCUAGUCAGAAAUGGGUGGUGCACUUUACUUUGGCCAGGUCAACGUGAGUUUUGGUUGGGGGUAAAUUAGUAUGGGAAGGUGACUCCUUGGCGGGAGUGUUAUAGCCUGUAUGAGUGCCCUGACUGGGAUUGAGGAGAGCAGUGUAUGCCCUGUAAAGGGCUGGCGAACUAGGCAGUAUUAGUGGAUUGAUUAGUGGCAGCAUGCUGAGACUAGUUAAUACGGCUUGUACGUGGCUGGGUAGCACAAAUGCACUAAGGAUGUUGACGAAAUGGUUUUAAACGACCCGUCUUGAAACACGGACCAAGGAGUCUAACACAUGUGCGAGUGUUUGGGUUGGAAGCCCAGGCGCGUAAUGAAAGUAAACGUAGGUGGGAACCCCGGAUUAUUAUUAGUAGUAGGCGGGGUGCAGCAUCGACCGGUCUGGAUUAUUUUUAAUGAUAGAUCUGAGUAAGAGCAUAUAUGUUGGGACCCGAAAGAUGGUGAACUAUGCCUGAAUAGGGCGAAGCCAGAGGAAACUCUGGUGGAGGCUCGUAGCGGUACUGACGUGCAAAUCGUUCGUCAAAUUUGGGUAUAGGGGCGAAAGACUAAUCGAACCAUCUAGUAGCUGGUUCCCUC